rnacentral:rRNA from 1 species
UCUUAUGUACAUGCCUAAAGUGUUAAUGUAGUGGAUCCCAUUAGAAAUAUGCAGUUUUUCAACCUUGGGCUAGAGUAGUACUGGGAUGGGUGACCUCUCGAGAAGUCCUAGGGUUUUACAUGCC